UACGAAGGGUGCAAGCGUUACUCGGAAUUACUGGGCGUAAAGCGUGCGUAGGUGGUUUGUUAAGUCUGAUGUGAAAGCCCUGGGCUCCAACCUGGGAAUUGCAUUGGAUACUGGCAGGCUAGAGUGCGGUAGAGGAUGGCGGAAUUCCCGGUGUAGCAGUGAAAUGCGUAGAGAUCGGGAGGAACAUCUGUGGCGAAGGCGGCCAUCUGGACCAGCACUGACACUGAGGCACGAAAGCGUGGGAGCAACAGGAUUAGCAU
rnacentral:rRNA from 1 species